UACAAGACUCACACUCGACUGCUAAAAGAAAAGUUGGACCAGAUCAAGGCUGAGAUGCAGAAGAUCUCUAAAGUCCACCUGCAUCAGCGCCCUGAGAGGAAAGCGUAUCAUCCAUUUGUGUGGAACACCCUGAGCCCCUACAGAGACACGACGGAGAUUGACCAUCUUCUCACAAUGACAGCCAAUCAAGACAGAAGGAAUCAACGUUCUUUAACGAAGGAAAUCACUUGGGUUUCUAAAUAACACUUGUAUCCAGUUGCUUUAUAUGCCUAAAUGUGCACUUUUCCUUUGUCUUUGUCUGAGUCUGCUGUUUAUUGAAUGUCUCAUGAGAAGCUCUGGCCCCAAUCAGAUGCAUGACAUGGAGAUUACUUCAACCACCGAUCCCCACAGCUCUCUAUGCAGUGGCAAGUGAAAAGAGAAUAACUGCUACAUUAUUCAUCAUGUCCUUCAUGCAAGUCUCCACAUCAUUUAAAACAUUUGUGCACAAUUGUACCCCUCAGAAACUUUUUUUUGUGUGUUGAAUAUGCAAUUGGUACCUUCAUAAAAUGGGAUCUACAGCUCUGA